GAUUCUAAAAGUACCUCCUCCUUUUCUUUCCUGGGGCACUUAUUCUUUCCAGAGGUGAGACAAAGACAUUCCAUGAGGUGAAAACUACUUCUCCCCAUGUUCCUGUGGUCCCAUCCAAACAGAGAGCCACCCAGAUGAGACACCGUGAGAACUGUGCAUUCAAGGACACAUAAAGCCCUGGGUGGUGAGUCGCCAAGGUCGCUGGAACCAGGUUUCUGCUCACCAUCGUCUGACAUCACUUCACAAGGAGCUACCACUUCUAGCUGUGUGACCUUGGGCAUACCCCUUAAUCUUGGCUAUGUCUCCACUCCCUCAUCAGCAGAAUGGGGAUAAUGAUAACAGAAAGCACCUCUUUUGGUUGUUAGAGGAUUGCCUGAGUCUACAAAGUGGUGGGAGAAAUGGAACCUGCAAAGUUCAGAGGCCUUGACCUUGCAGCAAGGUGUCCAGAGUGAACUGUAGCAGAAGAGGCAAAAGAACUCGACAACUUUUUCUAAAAAAAAAGAAUGAUUUGGCAUUAUCCUCUGGACUCUGUUUCAUGAUCAGCUAAGAACAAGCUCAUUUACCAUCUGGUCAUGAAUUGUACCUGCAGGUGUUUCCAAAUGUAGCAGGAAAUUUUUUCCUUAGAACAUACUUGAAAAGUUCUCAGUUAUUUUUGUUGUGCCAUUUUUCUCAUUGUCGACUGUUGCCUAAAUCUUUUCUUUACAAUUUUACUUAUUUAUAUAAUAGCACUGACAAUCACACAGCAGUGCUAUCUUGUGCUAUCUUGUCCCCCAUAACAAUGAAUUUCCAAAGGGCCAACACCAAGUAUUAUUCUUGUUCUUACCUCCCCCACUCCCCGUCCCAUCAGGCCUAGACCAUUUAUUGAGCUCCUGUUAUUGCUAGAGCUGUGCAGACACUUCCAUUUACAUUACUUUCCAUAAUCUGCACUAUAAACUCAAGUGCUUUGUCCAGGGCCCUACAAAUACUAAACUGAAAGAAUCCCAGCUCCAUGCUCUUUCCAAACCAUCACAUUGAGUUAUAGCAAAUGAGAGCACUGGAGUGCUCCCUGAUUGGAGCCUUAGCUCUUCCGCUUGUUACCGGAUGUGCCAGUCUUGUCACCAUUUGAGUGUCUGUUGUGCGUGUGUGCUAAAUCACUUCAGUUGUGUCCAAAUCUUUGCAACCCCAUGGACCAUAGCCCACAAGGCUCCUCUGUCUAGGGAUCCUCCAGGCAAGAAUACUCGAGUGGGUUGUCAUGCCCUCCUUCAGGUUUGGGUUGCUGUUACUUCAUCUCUAAAACCUACCCUGUAGGCAUUUCAAGCUCCUUCAGGGAGGGGCUGGAGACACAUCAGAGCUGGGAAACAGAGCUGGUUCCCACGUUCCCCCAAAGCAGCAACAGGUGUCUGAGGAUGGCUGAUGGAGCAAAGCUCUGAAAGGUACUCUACCUUUUACCCAGUAAAGCCCAGUUCUGGUCCUCCUUCCCUGCCUUCUCCAAAAGGAGCCAUUAUCCGUCUGGAGAGGUUGGAGAUUACUUUCUCCCUAGGAGCAUCACUACAUCACCUACCCCAGUUUCCAUGACUUUCAUUUGUUGCAAAUGCUGUUUCUCCCUCCCUCCACCUCCCAACCAGGAUCUCGCUGCCAGAGACACAUUCAGCAACAACUUAGAAAGCCUCACUGGAGGCAGGCAGAAAGCUAAUGCCGUAUCUGACCCUUUC